GCAUUGGCAAUGGAUCCCAGAGCGAUGGAUUGACAGGUGUUGGCAAUGGAUCCUGGUUCAAUGGAUCAGCAGGCAUUGGCUAGGGUCCAUUGCUCUGGACAUUGGCAAUCGAGCCCAAUUAGCGAUCGAGCCCCAAGCACUCCAUAGACAGGUAUUGGCUGUGGGGACCUGUCGUGAGUACAGCCCGGCUACCACGGCUUGGAAGGAUGCUGAUAAAGCAUCGAGGUGUGACAAAGGUAACACAGGUGGACACAAACGACAGAGCACAGACACAGAUUACACAAGAGACACCAGUUAUUCAGCCAGAGCUGGAAGGAACUGGAGCAGCCAUCGAGUGGAGCAUCUCAGAGCCAGAGCUGGAAUGAAGAACGUGCCACAGUCAGAGCUGGAGGUUCAGCAAGCUGGGCUGGGAAACACCUGCAAGUGGAACAAGCAGAAGGAGCAGAAAUCACCUGGGCCCUCAGGUAUCCUGAGCAGUAAGUGAGCAGGGGGUCCAGGAGCAGGAGCUGUGAGAACCAGGAACAGCUCUCGUGCAGAGGCUCCGUCAGCUGAAGCUGUAACAGGCACAGGUGUCCCUGAGGAAGAGCUGAGCUCACCUGCAGCCGCAGCAGGAACAUCUCGUGGCUGGAUCCGGAAUUAGAGCACCCUGGACUCCGAGCCAGGCGCAGGCGUGGAUGUCCCUAACCAGGAGCUCUGAGCAGUGGGGAGCCCAGCCUCUUCCACGGGGGACUGAAGCCGUGCCAAGUGCCACUCUCUGCGUGGAGGUGUCUCCCACUCCCAUCCCUGAGAGCAGAAGGGAGGCAGGGGCUCUCCUGGGGACGUGGUGCAGCAGCAUCUCCUCUGUCUCUGCACAAAGGGGUCAGUCAGCAUCGCCAGGGUGCGCAGCACAGCCCCACACAACCCACAGGAGAUGCCUGUCCCCCUCCCAGGCAGGGGCAACCCCUUCCCUGCCUGCUGCCCCUCAGCUUUGGGCACAGACUGCCCAGUGCUGUGCACCGAGGACGGGCAGGGAGGGAGAAAUGACAACGGGAAGGCUCAGGACUCAACCCAAAAAAUGCACGUUUCCAGCCAGAAGAGCAGAGGAGGAGGCACAGAUUGCUGCAACCCCUCUGGCCAGCAAGGGCCAUUUUGGGAACCGGCCACCGAACAAUACCGGGGCUGAGGGCGGGCUGUGCCCACCCAGGGCCUGGCCCAGCCCAGCACCUCCACCGGCCACCCCAGCCCUGCCCCGGAGCGGGACCGGGGAGCCACGGACUGCGCCAGGCACGGCACAGAGCCCAUCCCUGGCUUAACGUGCCACAGGCCGCGUUCAUCAAGCGCGGCUGAGCCAAGCCAACGCUGAAUAUCCAGCGAAACGGGCCACCGAGGGCCCAGCACAAGCAGGAGCCCUCUGGCAGGGGCAGCAGGACAGGAUGGUCCCCAGCCUGGCACCCGGGAACCGCAGGCCGGGACAGCCCCGAGCCGGGAGAGCACGUACUCACCCUGCGCCCGAGCUCGAGAGCGCCUCUUCCAUCCCCGCACGCACCCAAAGGUCUCCCCGCGCGCGCGGUGCCGCCUGGAACGGGCGGGGGAAGCGGCUCCCGGCACAGGAGCCCCGGCCCGGCCCGGCCCGGCCCCUUCAGCAGCAGCGGCUCCUCCCGGGGGGGGGAAGCGGCUCCCGGCACAGGAGCCCCGGCCCGGCCCGGCCCGGCCCCUUCAGCAGCAGCGGCUCCUCCGCCCCGAGCGCAGCCCCGAGCGCGCGGCUGACAGCCGGCAGGACCCCGGCCGAGAGAGGCGUCCGCGCCGCUGCCUGCCGCCGCUCCCGCGUCCGAGCGCCGCGAAAGGCGGCGGGAAACCGCGCCGGGAGCGCGGGAACGGCGUCGGGGCCGAAUUCGGGCAGGCGACUUAGAGAGACGCCCCUGUGAGGGGCCUUAAGGGUGCCACAACAAAGAUGGCGGCCGGGCCGGAAGCGGCGGGAAAUCGCGCCGGGAGCGCGGGAACGGCGUCGGGGCCGGAUUCAGGCAGGCGACUUAGAGAGACGCCCUUGUGAGGGGCCUUAAGGGUGCCACAACAAAGAUGGCGGCCGGGCCGGAAGCGGCCUCUGCCAGUACCGAAGAUGACUCGCCUGACCUUCUAAACAUGGCGGCGGAAAGGGCGGGAAAGCGGAGCGCGCUCGGUGCGCAGCGACCCCACAGCGAUCCCUGAUCAGCUACCUCGGCAGCGGCUUUAUAAAGAUAUAAAGCAUUGCAUAGAGGGAAUGCUGUUCACUUGGUUUGAAAAUUAUGCACCCGCAAAUAUACUAAACAUAUACACCCAAAAAU
rnacentral:lncRNA from 12 species